GGGGGCGCCAUGGUUUCGACGGGGACGGUUGAAGCCAGGGUUGCAGGCCGAGGUGCUGCGGGGACCUCGUAAAACACGCAGCAACAAAACAAAUGCCAACGAUUACGAAUACGCAAUGGCUGCUUAAUUUUUAGCCACGCUUCUCUGGCUGAUGCCUGAUAGGCUGGAAGAAGCGACGACGCAUCAGGCUGGCCUCCAGAUUGAGUCUGACAACUCAGGAGGUGAGAACCUCUUCAGACUGGUUUUCAGGAUGCCUGACCAGGGGCUUACCUGAAAACGAGACUCUAAACCUGGUCUAAGCCUGUAGAAGCCUUGAGCGGAGCGUUCUCGGACGGGGGUUCGACUCCCCCCGCCUCCACCA
rnacentral:sRNA from 1 species